ACUUUUCAAACCACAUCUACUAAAUAAACAUCAGUUGUUUAUAACUCACUGGAGUUAAGAGGCACUUACAAUUACCAGGAAUGAAAGCUUGUUUUUAGUUCUUCAGUUGUUACGUUCUUCACUUUGCAAAAACAAGGACGUGGCCUGUGAUGGAAAAAAAAAAAAGUAAAGCCAAUUUUCUGUUUCCCUCAGGCUAUUCAGAUACUAUGGAAAACAUUCAUUUCCUGGAUAGCAGUCAAGUUUUUCGCAAAAUGCUUCCUGAGAAACCCAGUUCCCCUCAGCAGGUUGAAGAAAAGUGGCAAAUUCCUCUGUUGAGUGAGAGCAGUUUCAUAUCAUGUAAAUGAAUCAGCAGCAGCAGGAUCAAACACAUCUUAAAGGAUUCCCAGGGACACCAACGCUGCCAGAGAAAGACCUCAUCUCUUUCAUUCUGCAUUUGGAGGGCAUGGGUAGAAGAGGCAGUAGGGUGGUGAGACCACCCAUGAGGUUUUUGUGAUGAGCCAAUACACAAAAUUGUUGCGUAGAAGAUUUCUGAUAGGAAAAUUGAGACAAAAGCCAUCCUUAAGAAAUUUAUAAAACACGUUUACCAGUUUUCAUUUCUGCACUGUAUCCAGAGCUGAAGCCAAGAGAAGGCCCUAAAAAUAUGAGUUUACUGCAUCAGCUGAAGAAGUUUCUAUGGCUGAGGCCAUGCAGUGACCACAUGCACAGAAUCUUUUGAUGUACUGGCAAGUAAUUAGGCCUCUGGUCACCUGACUGGCAAACAGAGGUGAGACUUCAGGCAGACAAAGAAGAAUAGACUGUAUUACCAAGGGAACACAAGCUUUACCUUCCUUUGAUUCCAAAACAGUUCUUCAUUGGGAAUGUGACAGUGAGUAAUGGCUUUUGCAACUCAUCUUUGAUGUUGGAUCAAGCUGCAAUGCAUAUACUCUUCUAGAGAAGCACAGAAGUCAAGGUGCUGACAUUACUUGAUUUUCUUUCAGUUGUAAAAUAUAUAUUCCCCUAAGGGAAUCUUAAAAGAGGAAAUGAAGGGAGCCUUUCAUCCCUGUGUUUGUAUAUCAUCCCAAAUGUCUGUGCUCAGUGCUGCCCAGAAGCUAUAAGAAAAGUCAUAUUAAUCAAAUUUGCUGUACUCACAAAACUGUGCAUCUUUUUGAAGGUUUGUUUCUGAAGUGCAAUCAAGUUUCUACACAUGAGGUAAAAACUGUUUAGGGGAUUAAGAUUCCACAAAAUCCCACUGCCUGAAAGCCAUCUAAAUUGAUGACACACAUGAAGUUACAGGCUUGGUGUUUACAGAGUCAGGGAAGGUCCCUCCAGCACCCUUAAUUAGGAGUUUUGCUACGAUAUUUUUACAAACAUUCAGUUUAAUCCAGACAAUUCCUAAGUCCCAAACUCCUAUUGCUGAAAUCCCCUGCAUUUUCUAAUUGUUAUGUUGCGCUUGCAUGUGAUGUUGUGAUGGGAUCACUGCUGUGGCUGAACUCUUUUUUUGGAGAUCACUGAAGUUUCAUAGCAAUUCCAAAAUGGAUAAACAUGCUCAGUGUCACUUUUCAGCUUGGUACUCAGUUUCAUUUGAAAGACUAAAAGCUGUUAUUCUUCCAAAAUAAAUGUCUUUUUUGCUCCUGCAUGUCUCAGUUUACCACAUCCUGGGUGGAG
rnacentral:lncRNA from 13 species